GUGCUCAUUUCAGCAGCACAUAUACAUAAAAUUGGAACUAUACAGAGAAGACUAGCAUGGUCGCUGCGCAAGGAUGACACGCAAAUUCGUGAAACAUUCCACAAGAUU